rnacentral:lncRNA from 1 species
UACACUGUUACAUUGAGUCUUCUUCUCCUCCUUACUUGAUACUAACUUGAGCGUUGGAGUGCUAAUGCCGGCAUCAACACCGGUGUGUUUUGCAGGGAACAGGAAGAAGAACUAGGUGAGCAUCCAGUCUUGACAGACUUCAUGGUGUAAGCUGCAGAACAGACUUACAUAUUGGCGCCCACCGUGGAUUUCCACAAACUCGAGCCAUCUAGUUCUUUAUUUUGUAGAUCUACAUGUUUUAGAUCUAUUCAUUUUAGUUCAUUUAGUUUUAAAUCUACAUGUAGAAAUACCUAUCUACAUGUUCAUUUCAUUUUGGUUUAUUUCGUUUUGGAUCUGUUCACUUCAUUUUGUUUCGUUUUAGAUCUGUUCAUGCUUUCUUUCAAUUGUUUUACUAUAACCAGAUCUGUGUUUUCACAGUUUUCUUGCUUGUUAUUUGUUUUGUUUCCUUUUCUGUUGUGGUAGAAUGGCAGCAAGUAGACCCAACAGAGCUCAGAUCGAAGCAGCAAAUGAAGUUUUGCAAAAUUAGUUACGCGAUGCUCAGGAGAGAGAGGAGGCACUCCAAACAGAAAUCAAUCAACUCAGAGAGCAGGAAGCGGCUAGAGCAGCCCAAACAGCUCUAAAUUAACCAGUUCAACAACCUGACAACCAGGAGAACCCUCUAGCCCAAGAGCACCAACAUGAGGGUCAAGCAGACGAACUUCCACAACCCCCACCACUUAGCCAUCAGCAGAAUCAGCAAGGCAUGCAGCCUAGGGUUCCACGCCAGCAAAACCAAGUAGAUCCAGUUGACGGUGAGGAAUCUCUCGUCGUUAACACCGAGAACGAGACAGAAGGAGAGAAUGACAAUCUAGCUCAGGGCAACACAACUCUUUUAUUGGAACCCUUUUGUAUUUAAAUUGAUAUCCGAGAG